GUCUGGACGCGCUGGGUGGAUGCGGGGGGCUCCUGGGAACUGGGUUGGAGCCGAGCGAGCGCUAGCUGGGCGCAAGCGCUCACAGACUGCAGCCGCCCUAGGACCCCCCCACCCCCACAGCCCACCCGGAGACCCCAGCGCAGAAUCGCCUCCGGAUCCCCGGCAGUCGACCGGAGGUAAGGAGCGGGGCUUGCAAACCGCCAGG
rnacentral:other from 2 species